rnacentral:lncRNA from 1 species
CAACCUUUCUUUCAAUGGCACAGUCACUGUGUCCUUUCUGUCUCCUCAACACUUGCCUGUUCAAAAUAGUCCUGUGUCUUACCCAGGACCUCACAGGAAAUGGUUCUCCAUUUCAUGCCAAUGUUUUUGGUAAAUAAAAUAUAAUUCUCAUUUUACUCUGGGGUUAACCUGAGACGUUUUGUGUUCUAUUCCCCAUACAGCAAGCAUAAGGCCAUCCAUACCAAACCCAUCAAACAGUGGAGCUGGCAGCUGCUGGAGGUGAAGAAAAAGGCUGCAGUCUAUGCCCUCAGGAGCCAAAACCAAACAUCUGACCUGAGUUUCUCAGGACUGGGGGGAAGCAGAGCCAUGAGAUUGCAAAAGAGGGGUCAUACUUCUACAUGGUCUCUGUGUGAGUAUGUGAGUAUGAAUUUCUGU